GUGUUGUAGACCACACUCCCUUUUGCAAAGAACACACACAAGAUUCCUAAUCGUCUCCUCUCCUUGCUUUGUUGUUGCUAUGGUUUGCCACUAUCACAAGCAACCUUGUGCAUUAGUUAGAUCCAGAAUUCCAGAUCUCUCACUUCUUUCUCAGUAGGCAAGCACAUAAUCUUGUAUAGGGUAGUAUAUUUAUUUGUUUUCAUUGCUGUUUCUGUUGCUCUCAGUCCAUAUCUGUCAGUGGGUCAGUAUUGCAUCUGCCUUUUUUUUUUCUCUCUCUUCAUCGAUCUGUAUAGAUUUGUUUGGGUGAUGCCUGGGCGCAGUGGUUUAUCGAUCUCUUCCCUGCCUUGUGCUGCUCCGAUCGAUGCCCGUGCUGAUUCUUGAUAAUA
rnacentral:precursor_RNA from 1 species